rnacentral:rRNA from 1 species
AUUGAACGCUGGCGGCAGGCUUAACACAUGCAAGUCGAGCGAGCGGCGGACGGGUGAGUAAUGUCUGGGAAACUGCCUGAUGGAGGGGGAUAAGUACUGGAAACGGUAGCUAAUACCGCAUACAAUCAGAUGUGCCCAGCUGGGAUUAGCUAGGAGGUGGGGUAAUGGCUCACCUAGGCGACGAUCCCUAGCUGGUCUGAGAGGAUGACCAGCCAGCAUGGAGUUGGUACCCGGUCCAGACUCCUACAGGAGGCGGCAGUGUGGAAUAUUGAACAAGGGGCGCAGGCCUGAUGCAGCCAUGCCGCGUGUGUGAAGAAGGCCUUCGGAUUGUAAAGCACUUUCAGCGAGGAGGCGUUACUCGCAGAAGAAGCACCGGCUAACUCCGUGCCAGCCGCCGCGGUAAUAC